AGCCGUGAGCAAUGGUGGUUUAGAAGUGCUCCAACACAUCUUGCACAUGCAGUAAGAAAACUAGAGCCUUGCUGAACUUGUGGGCACUUUUGGAAUGAGGACUGGUACCUUCCCUCCUGUGGGAGGUGGAGGGGUGGAAGGAUGAAGAAAUAGCUGGUUCUGCAAUAUAAAGCUCAAGCCUAGAAUGUCCACCACUGUACCUAGAAUUUGUGGUCCACGACCCUAUGGGUCCAGCCAGCACUAGAGAACAUCAUUCCUUGAUCCUAUCAAGUCUUCAACAAGCAGAAUGUCCUUGAGGUAGGAUCACCGAUCUUCCAGCAGUGACCCAUUUCUCUUCUAGUCUUGAAGGAUCUCUCUGAUAUAUGAACUGCAAUCGUGACCAUGUCUAAACAACCUGUAAUAAAUCACCUUCUCUUAACACCCUUCCUCGAACUUCUGGUUCUCAAUUCCACUCUCUCCAAGCCCUCUUUUUCUGGAUAUUGUCUCUUGAUCCUAGGUCACCAACUUUUAUUUUCUACUGCUUUAUCCUCUGGGUUUCUGCACACAAAUGUCAUUCAAUCCAGACACUCAUCUGGCUUGAUCCUAUGCAGAUGUCAUACCCCUUCUAUCCCACUGCAAGCAGCCAAUCAACUCUUCAGUAAGACAACACAAGCAAAAUGGUUACUGCUUUCAGGAAUCAUUGCAAUCCACAGAUUCUAGUAACAAAAAAGUUUACUUUACAAUUGACAUCUACACAUCAUAAAAAUGCCACGGGGCUUGAGAGUCGAGUCGCACAUUUGCCCAGUCAACUAUUUAUUUCAUGAUUUCCACCAUUCUGAUUGGAGAGAGUGAACAUUUUGCAAUUUAGAAGUUGUGCAAUGAUACACAGGAGCAGCUCUUCUGUUGGGGCUGUUCUUUACUGAGGAGGAAGAUGUGUGGAUGAGGUAGCCCUGAGAAUUCCUUGUUUACACAUAUUUUGCAAUUCUUCCUGUCCUGGGAUGACUUCAUGGUUUUUUGUUUUAGCAGGUAAAAAUGAUUAUACGGCACUCCCAUCCCAGAGCAACUAUGCUUUGCAUUUGUGCUUGAAAUAUUGGGAAAUCAGGAAGAUGGAUAAAAAUGUUGGUUUGCAGGAGCACAAAACAUUUUUUCAUUCAAAUGCUAGCAUAUGUUGUAAUUGACCUACUGAUUGCAUUUGCAAAUUGCCUUGAGUCUCA